rnacentral:rRNA from 1 species
UACGUAGGGGGGCAAGCGUUGUCCGGAUUUAUUGGGCGUAAAGAGCGUGUAGGCGGCCAUACAGGUCCGUUGUGAAAACUGGAGGCUUAACCUCCAGACGUCGAUGGAAACCGUAUGGCUAGAGUCCGGAAGAGGAGAGUGGAACUCCUGGUGUAGCGGUGGAAUGCGCAGAUAUCAGGAAGAACACCAACGGCGAAGGCAGCUCGCUGGGACGGAACUGACGCUAAGGCGCGAAAGCGUGGGGAGCGAACAGG